GCUUGGUUUUAUGUGAGGAUCAACCCCAAGAUUUCCACUUUUAUAUACCAUUUUAAUGAUUCUAAUGAAUUUCUUCUCUAAACUAUCUCAGGUGUGAAUACACAAUUGCAGGAUAUAAACCAUUUACAUGCUAUCCAAACAUUGUAAAUGAUUUACAGGUAAAUCAUUUACAAUUUAAAGCCAAGCAGACAUGCUGUAAAUCAUUUAUAGCCUGUAAAUGAUUUACUGAUUUACAACUUAAACCAUUUACCACCAUCUAAAUGACCCCUUACAGUUUCAGUUAAGAAACUCAGAUAAAAAAUGAUGUGAACUCUGUAUUGCAGAAAAGGCUGAACUUUGUGAUGAUGCUAUUGUAAACUUUCUUUCUGCAUACAAAACUUUCUUCUGCCUUGAGGAAGCAAGAUCCUUGCCAGACUAGCUCAUGAAACUCAAUAGCUUGGACAGAGCAAGGACAAUAACAAGUUCCUUUUCACUUUAUGCAGACAAGGCAUCAAAUGCGUGCAAAUCACUUUUACGGACUCCAAUAUACAGGUCUCCUCAGAGAUAUUUUCUCCCUAAUUCACAAGAUCUUAGAGGUACUUCCCAUCUGAAUUUAUGGCAUAUAAGCAAGUUGGUUUUCAUCAUGUGCUUCUAAAAGAGUUGUCUUAUCGUAUUGAUUUCAGACCAGGGUAUCAGUUGUUAUUGCUGGUGAAUUCUUGAGACUUCUGGUUUUCCUGAACACAAUGUCACACGCAAGUGAAUGUCAGGAAGAUGUUAUGGGCGUGCUUGGUCAGUGGAAUUGAAUGGAUAUCAUCUGAGAUUAAUGCUACUCAGGGCGAGAAUGCAACUCAGGUGAAAUCCACAUGUUCAUCUCCGUUUCCAAUCAUCAAGAUACCAUUGCAGAUGGACAAAGAGCCUCAAGAUAAUGUUUUAGAACCAGUGAUAACUCAUCCCAACACUGGUAGCAUGGAAAAAGGAGGAGGAAAAGAAGAUGAUGAUGAUUGGGAUGCAUUUCAGUCUUUUCCUGCUGAUAACGCAUGUACUGCUGCUCAUCUAGAAUUAGUCAGAACGGAAGUUGUGCUUGCUUCAAAUGACGAUUCUCCCAUCUUGCAGAAACCAACCACCAAAGCAAAAAUGACUUUGAGGAGAGUUUGGAUUUUGAACUGCACGAGGAAGUAGGACAGGAGAAUGAUGCGCGGAAUCCAGAGGGUCGUGGAGAGAAUGUAUUAACACGACAAGGCAAUGGAAAUGAUCUCCAAAAGUUCUUUAGUCCACAACCUCUCAAAAAUGCCGAAUUGCCAAACAACAUCAACCCUAUUUGUGGGAAUGAGGGUCCAGUGAUCAGAACCAAUGGUGAUGGAAAUGACGAAGACCUCUCCGAUCUUCGAUCGGUUGAGGAUGUUGCAGAAUUGAGUCCUUUCCAUUUUUUUCCAGCGGGUGAACAGACCGAUGAGAAGCUGAGGUGAUGGAAUUGAUCUCCAGGAAUCCUGGAAUUCAGUGGAUUGAGGAUGCUGAAGAGUUGAACAAAGAAAGGCAUUUAGAGAGCGGCAGCGAGAGGAUGAUGGGGACACAAGAUGAUGAAAAUAGUAAAUCAAGAGAUUUCUAAUCCGCAGCCAGCUGAAGGUGUGGAAGAUACAAGUGACGGACAGCAGCUGGGUGGUGAUUGAAACAAUAAUCUCCCAAUUGCCUUCUGACGCUCAACCUCCCCAGGGCGCCAGAAUGACCAUACAUAAAAAUGGUGAUAAAGAGAUUUCUGAUCUAAAACCGAAGCAAAUAAAUACAAACCGAAGUAAAUAAAGUACUAGCAGGAUUGAAAUUCUGCACAUCGAAGUGGUGAAAAGCUCUUUCAACAUAACUCUUUUGAGUUAUGUACACUUUCCUGCUUUUUUGCUCCAAAUAUAGUCAUUCGAAGAAUAUGAUUAAUGACUCCUAAAUUUUUCAUAUUGAAUUUAUGAACCAAACAAGCUUUUACACAACAAUAUUUUUACUAAGAUGUACAACCAUAAUUUGAUUAAUACUCAAUCAUAAGAGAAUGAAGUUACUUGCACUA